GGGGGUAUAGCUCAGUUGGUAGAGCACUGCUUUUGCACGGCAGUAGCCAGCGGUUCGAAUCCGCUUACCUCC
rnacentral:tRNA from 1 species